UUCUCGGAUGACCCUCGACUUCCACACCAACAAGAAGGUGCUCGAGGAGGUGUCCAUCUUGCAGUCGAAGCGCCUCCGCAACAAGGUGGCCGGCUUCACCACCCAUCUGAUGCGCCGCAUCCAGCGCGGCCCCGUCCGCGGCAUCUCCCUCAAGCUGCAGGAGGAGGAGCGCGAGCGCCGCAUGGACUUCGUCCCUGAGAAGUCGGCUCUUGAGGUCGACGAGAUCCGCGUCGACAAGGAGACGAUGGACAUGCUGGCGUUCCUCGGCAUGGCCGAUCUCCCUGGCGUCGAGCGCGCUCCCGAGGUCACCGCGUCCGCCGCCCCCUUCCGCCAGCCGUACAACGGACCCCGCGGUGGCAACCGCGCCUAGGUUCCCCCGCAUCGUCGCCGUACCCCUAUCAUGCUUUAUAAGUUUUUAUUAGAUCUGUUACUUGUGGCAAGUACUAUUUUGAACUCAGCUCUUAAGUUCGAGGUGUUUUGAUCUGCGUAUGGUGGACAUGAUCUGUUUAU
rnacentral:lncRNA from 1 species